rnacentral:rRNA from 1 species
AUACGAAAGGUGCAAGCGUUGUUCGGAUUUACUGGGCGUAAAGAGAUCGUAGGUGGUUUAUUAAGUCGGAUGUGAAAUCCCGGGGCUCAACCCCGGAACUGCAUUCGAUACUGGUAGACUAGAGUUUGGGAGGGGUAAGCGGAAUUCCGUGUGUAGCAGUGAAAUGCGUAGAUAUACGGAGGAACACCUGAGGCGAAGGCGGCUUACUGGACCAAUUCUGACACUGAGACUCGAAAGCGUGGGUAGCAAACAGGAUUAGAAACCCUAGUAGUCC